rnacentral:rRNA from 1 species
AUUCCGGUUGAUCCUGCCGGAGGCCAUUGCUAUCGGAGUCCGAUUUAGCCAUGCUAGUCGUGCGAGUUCAGACUCGCGGCACCGAGCUCAGUAACACGUGGCCAAACUACCCUACAGAGACGGAUACCCUCGGGAAACUGAGGUUAACCCGUCAUACCGAUCUCAGGCUUGAAUCGCAGAGAUCACAAAAUGCCCCGGCGCUGUAGGAUGUGGCUGCGGUUGAUUAGGUAGACGGUGGGGUAACGGCCCACCGUGCCCAUAAUCAGUACAGGUUGUGAGAGCAAGAACCUGGAGACGGAAUCUGAGACAAGAUUCCGGGCCCUACGGGGCGCAGCAGGCGCGAAACCUUUACACUGCACGCACGUGCGAUAAGGGGACUCCGAGUGCGAGGGCAUAUCGUCCUCGCUUUCGUGUACCGUAGGGUGGUACACCAACAAGGGCUGGGCAAGACCGGUGCCAGCCGCCGCGGUAAUACCGGCAGCCCGAGUGAUGGCCGAUCUUAUUGGGCCUAAAGCGUCCGUAGCUAAG